CAUGCAAGUCGAACGGUAACAGGGAAAAGCUUGCUUUUCCGCUGACGAGUGGCGCACGGGUGCGUAACGCGUAUGCAAUCUGCCUUGUACUGGAGUAUAGCCCAGGGAAACUUGGAUUAAUCCUCCAUAGUCUAUAUUGAUGGCAUCAUUUAUAUAGUAAAGGUUACGGUACAAGAUGAGCAUGCGUCCUAUUAGCUAGUAGGUGUGGUAACGGCACACCUAGGCAACGAUAGGUAGGGGUCCUGAGAGGGAGAUCCCCCACACUGGUACUGAGACACGGACCAGACUCCUACGGGAGGCAGCAGUGAGGAAUAUUGGACAAUGGGCGAA
rnacentral:rRNA from 1 species